AAACCCAUAAAAUCAAAAAAAGAUAUUUGCUAUAAAUAAUUAAAAGUCGCUGCAUAACGAAAGCCUUUCACCACCCUUUAAAUAAUCAAACAAAAACUCAAUCUCUUUUCUUAAAAAAU
rnacentral:snRNA from 1 species